rnacentral:rRNA from 1 species
GAGUUUGAUCCUGGCUCAGAUUGAACGCUGGCGGCAUGCCUUACACAUGCAAGUCGAACGGUAACAGGUCUUCGGAUGCUGACGAGUGGCGAACGGGUGAGUAAUACAUCGGAACGUGCCUAGUAGUGGGGGAUAACUACUCGAAAGAGUGGCUAAUACCGCAUGAGAUCUACGGAUGAAAGCAGGGGAUCGCAAGACCUUGUGCUACUAGAGCGGCCGAUGGCAGAUUAGGUAGUUGGUGGGAUAAAAGCUUACCAAGCCGACGAUCUGUAGCUGGUCUGAGAGGACGAUCAGCCACACUGGGACUGAGACACGGCCCAGACUCCUACGGGAGGCAGCAGUGGGGAAUUUUGGACAAUGGGCGCAAGCCUGAUCCAGCAAUGCCGCGUGCAGGAUGAAGGCCUUCGGGUUGUAAACUGCUUUUGUACGGAACGAAAAGCCCUGGGUUAAUACCCUGGGGUCAUGACGGUACCGUAAGAAUAAGCACCGGCUAACUACGUGCCAGCAGCCGCGGUAAUACGUAGGGUGCGAGCGUUAAUCGGAAUUACUGGGCGUAAAGCGUGCGCAGGCGGUUUUGUAAGACAGAGGUGAAAUCCCCGGGCUCAACCUGGGAACUGCCUUUGUGACUGCAAGGCUAGAGUACGGCAGAGGGGGAUGGAAUUCCGCGUGUAGCAGUGAAAUGCGUAGAUAUGCGGAGGAACACCGAUGGCGAAGGCAAUCCCCUGGGCCUGUACUGACGCUCAUGCACGAAAGCGUGGGGAGCAAACAGGA